UACGGGGGGGUAAGCGUUGUUCGGAAUUACUGGGCGUAAAGGGCUCGUAGGCGGCCAACUAAGUCGGACGUGAAAUCCCUCAGCUUAACUGGGAACUGCGUCCGAUACUGGAUGGCUUGGAUUGGAGAGGGAUGCGGAAUUCCAGGUGUAGCGGUGAAAUGCGUAGAGUAUCGUGGAGGAACACCGUGGCGAAGGCGACUCC
rnacentral:rRNA from 1 species